ensembl:lncRNA
UAAUAAUUAUAGUUUGCAGUGGUUGUUAAAGCAGCUGGUGGAGGGAGAGCAGGUUGACCUGCCUUUUUCUUUGGGCUCCAAACAAAUGAAACACCUCUUGUUCACCGCCACAUCCUAGGCGCUGGUGCAAAGGCCUUCUCUGGAUCUUUAGAAGUCGACCUUGAACAUGGGUCCCCGCUGCCUCUGAAUGCUCAUAGACUCAAAACUGUAUCUUUGACUCUUCCUGGAUCUUAAGUCCCUUGGACUUGAGACUGGACUACAUCAUCAGCUCCCCUGGGUCUCAGGCCUUCAGGCUGGGAUUGGAAUUAUACUCUCAGCUCUCCUGGGUUUCCAGCUUGCUGUGUCAUCCUUCAGAAAUCAACCCUGAAUAUUCACGGGAAGGAUGGAUGCGGAAUCUGAACCUCCAGUAUCAGUGGCCACCUGAUGAGAAGAGCCGACUCCCUGGAAAAUCCCUGAUGCUGGGAAAGAUUGAAAGCAAAAGGAGAAGAGGGCAGCAGAGGACGAGAUGGUUAGAUAGCAUUCAAUGAAUAUGAAUUUGAGCAAACUCCAAAAGAUAGUGAAGAACAGGGAAGCCUAACGUGUUGCAGUCCAUGGGGUAUCAGAGAAUCGGACAUGACUUAGUGACUGAACAUCAACAUACCCAUAAAUUCAUUGCUGAGGUCUCUUUUGUUUUGAUUUUUUUUUCAAUUUAUUUAUUUACUUAUUUUGGCUGCACUGGGUCUUCACUGCUGCCUGAGGGCUUUCUCUAGGUGCGGCAAGCAGGGGCCACUCUCUAGCUGUGGUACCCGGCCUUCUCACUGCGGCGGCUUCUCUUGUUAUGUUGCAUGGUCCCUAGAGCACAGGCUUGGUAGUUGUGGCGCACGGGCUUUGUUGCCCUCAGGCAUGUGGGAUCUUCCCAGAGCAGGGACUGAACCUGUGUCCCCUACAUUGGCAGGCGGAUUCUUAAUCACUGGACCACUAGGAAGUCCAAGGCCCCAUCUUUCAAUACUAUUAUAUGGGCAUCAGGACUUCAAAAUCUGGAUUGGCAGAGAUAACAACAUUCAGACCAUAGCAACUGGCAAAAAUAAUCACAGAGUGCAGAUUAGUGGCUGCCUAGGGUUAGGGGCAAGGUAAU